rnacentral:lncRNA from 1 species
CACGGGAAGAUGGGAGUUUGUUUUUGCUUGCUUAGGACCCUGCAGGCGUUCCUUUCUUCCAGGCACUUCUGGCAGGAAAUAGGCAGCUCUUGGUGUGAAGCUUGUCCUGUGGAGUGAAAGGGAGAGGGUGCAAGAGCACUUUGUGGAGAGCAGUGUGGGUCAAGCAGAGAACAUUGUCUACACCUCAGAGUUCAAGCCUGCUGAGUGUGGUGUGGUCAGUUAACUGCGAGAGCCCAUAUGUGAUUCCUGUUACCAUCAUAUGUGAACCAACUAAAAAGGCCCACAUGGUCAUGAUAAAGAAGUACAAUAACGUUU